UUUAUACUAGGGCUUAUUUUCAGAUCAAGUCAAAAGUCAUUAAUACAGAUGAGAUAAUCAUACAUGAUUUUAUCUCUUUCCAUACUCAGCCUGAUAAAUACACUCCUCAGAAAUGACAGAGUCAUGCCAAGAGAAUCCCAACAGCAGCCUCCUCCCCCUGUCACCACCCACAAGACAAUCACCUCAAUUACCUAGGGCAACCCAAGGUCUAUAUCAGAGGUGAUCCGGACGGCUGGUUACCGGCCAGUCAACCAGCCUAGACAACAGUGAGCUUCCAACUACGGUUGAAGGAGCUGAGAUACUGCGCCAGAAAGGACAAUUGGCUCCAGUGACCCCACCUGUCCUCGGUCCAGCACGCCUGCAGCCAGCAGCGGUGGCUCUGGACGAGGCAAGAUGAUGAUUGAACCAACCACUACACGAGCCUUCACAAUACGCUCCGAGGAUGUUGAGCCUGAUAAAUACAGUCUUCAGAAAUGGCAGAGUCAUGCCAAGAGAAUCCCAACAGCAGCCUCCUCCCCCUGUCACCACCCACAAGACAAUCUCCUCAACUACCUAGGGCAACCCUAGGUCUAUAUCAGAGGACAAUUGGCUCCAGUGACCCCGCCUGUCCUCGGUCCAGCAGGCCUGCAGCCAGCAGCGGUGGCUCUGGACGAGGCAAGAUGAUGAUUGAACCAACCACUACACGAGCCUUCACAAUACGCUCCGAGGAUGUUGA